CUUAGGGAGGAGCUUGCGUCACAUUAGUUAGUUGGUGGGGUAAAGGCCUACCAAGACUAUGAUGUGUAGCCGGGCUGAGAGGUUGAACGGCCACAUUGGGACUGAGACACGGCCCAAACUCCUACGGGAGGCAGCAGUAGGGAAUUUUCGGCAAUGGAGGAAACUCUGACCGAGCAACGCCGCGUGAACGAUGAAGUAUUUCGGUACGUAAAGUUCUUUUAUUAGGGAAGAAUAAAUGAUGGAAAAAUCAUUCUGACGGUACCUAAUGAAUAAGCCCCGGCUAACUAUGUGCCAGCAGCCGCGGUAAUACAUAGGGGGCAAGCGUUAUCCGGAAUUAUUGGGCGUAAAGGGUGCGUAGGCGGUUAAAUAAGUUUAUGGUCUAAGUGCAAUGCUCAACAUUGUGAUGCUAUAAAAACUGUUUAGCUAGAGUAAGAUAGAGGCAAGUGGAAUUCCAUGUGUAGUGGUAAAAUGCGUAAAUAUAUGGAGGAACACCAGUAGCGAAGGCGGCUUGCUGGGUCUUUACUGACGCUGAGGCACGAAAGCGUGGGGAGCAAACAGGAUUAGAUACCCUGGUAGUCCACGCCGUAAACGAUGAGUACUAAACGUUGGGUAAAACCAGUGUUGAAGUUAACACAUUAAGUACUCCGCCUGAGUAGUACGUACGCAAGUAUGAAACUUAAAGGAAUUGACGGGACUCCGCACAAGCGGUGGAUCAUGUUGUUUAAUUCGAAGGUACCCGAAAAACCUCACCAGGUCUUGACAUGCUUCUGCAAAACUGUAGAAACACAGUGGAGGUUAUCAGUUGCACAGGUGGUGCAUGGUUGUCGUCAGCUCGUGUCGUGAGAUGUUGGGUUAAGUCCCGCAACGAGCGCAACCCUUAUUGUUAGUUACCAGCACGUAAUGGNGGGGACUUUA
rnacentral:rRNA from 1 species